AACGAACGCUGGCGGCAUGCCUAACACAUGCAAGUCGAACGAGACCUUCGGGUCUAGUGGCGCACGGGUGCGUAACGCGUGGGAACCUGCCCUUAGGUUCGGAAUAACUCCCCGAAAGGGGUGCUAAUACCGGAUAAUGUCUUCGGACCAAAGAUUUAUCGCCUUUGGAUGGUCCCGCGUUGGAUUAGCUAGUUGUUAGGGUAAAAGCCUACCACGGCGACGAUCCAUAGCUGGUCUGAGAGGAUGAUCAGCCACACUGGGACUGAGACACGGCCCAGAAUCCUACGGGAGGGAGCAGUGGGGGAUAUUGGAAUAUGGGCGAAAGGAUGAUCCAGCAAUGACGCGUGAGUGAUGAAGGCCUUAGGGUUGUAAAGCUAUUUUACCCGGGAUGAUAAUGACAGUACCGGGAGAAUAAGCUCCGGCUAACUCCGUG
rnacentral:rRNA from 1 species